rnacentral:rRNA from 1 species
UACGAAGGGGGCUAGCGUUGCUCGGAUUUACUGGGCGUAAAGGGCGCGUAGGCGGCCAGCACAAGUCAGUUGUGAAAUCUCCGAGCUUAACUCGGAAAGGUCAACUGAUACUGUGCGGCUAGAGUGCGGAAGGGGCAACUGGAAUUCUUGGUGUAGCGGUGAAAUGCGUAGAUAUCAAGAGGAACACCUGCGGCGAAGGCGGGUUGCUGGGCCGACACUGACGCUGAUGCGCGAAAGCUAGGGGAGCGAACGGG